rnacentral:tRNA from 1 species
GUGGUGGCUCAGUGGUAGAGUGCUUGCCUUGCAAGCAUGAGGCCCUGGGUUCGAUUCCUCAGCACCACA